AGGGAGGCAGCAGUAAGGAAUCUUCCGCAAUGGACGAAAGUCUGACGGAGCAACGCCGCGUGAGCGAAGAAGGUCUUCGGAUCGUAAAGCUCUGUUGUUAGGGAAGAACAAGUACCGGAGUAACCGUCGGUACCUUGACGGUACCUAACCAGAAAGCCACGGCUAACUACGUGCCAGCAGCCGCGGUAAUACGUAGGUGGCAAGCGUUGUCCGGAAUCAUUGGGCGUAAAGCGCGCGCAGGCGGUCCUUUAAGUCUGAUGUGAAAUCUUGCGGCUCAACCGUAAGCGGUCAUUGGAAACUGGGGGACUUGAGUGCAGGAGAGGAAAGCGGAAUUCCAUGUGUAGCGGUGAAAUGCGUAGAGAUAUGGAGGAACACCAGUGGCGAAGGCGGCUUUCUGGCCUGUAACUGACGCUGAGGCGCGAAAGCGUGGGGAGCAAACAGGAUUAGAUACCCGAGUAGUCUG
rnacentral:rRNA from 1 species